rnacentral:tRNA from 1 species
GGCAGCUUGGCCGAGUGGUUAUGGCGCAGGUUUUAGGCCUCUAUGGCAGAUUCACCUGUUUCUUUGAUUCGUGGGUUCGAAUCCCACAGCUGUCA